GAAUUUUCGACAGCGUCACCUCCUCCCGACCCUGUCGAAACGGACGGUCUCUUCUCCUCCCAGAAGACCCUCCAUAACCAACGAAACCCACCGCACCUCCUCCCGCGGUGGGUUUUGUUG
rfam:Phyllobacterium sp. YR531 PMI41_contig_31.31, whole genome shotgun sequence.